rnacentral:rRNA from 1 species
UACAGAGGGGGCAAGCGUUAUUCGGAAUUAUUGGGCGUAAAGGGCGCGUAGGCGGCCUGGCAAGUGGAAGGUGAAAUCCCUCGGCUUAACCGAGGAACUGCCUCCCAAACUGCUUGGCUUGAGACCGGGAGAGGUGAGUGGAAUUCCCAGUGUAGCGGUGAAAUGCGUAGAUAUCGAGAGGAACACCUGCGGCGAAGGCGGGUUGCUGGGCUGAUACUGACGCUGAGGCGCGAAAGCCAGGGGAGCGAACGGG